AAAAAAAAAGAGAAAAUAGCAGCGUGAGCAGGUCAAAAUAAAAUGCGAGGAUGAAUUGAGAAUCAAUCCCUGGUGCUACAGGAAGCAGAGGAAGUCUGUAAGAAGACCGACUACAUCUAGACAAAAACAGAGGGAAGAUGUGAAUGACAAAGAGGAAGUGGAUUAAAAUUGUGGCGAUAGAGUCCACUCUGCAUACAAAAUCGUAACACUUUUCACUUUAGUAUUUCAGGGACUCCCUCAAACUACAAAACUGACAAGCUUCAAGAUGGAGGCUUCACUUCUGGUUCAACUGAUGUCAGUUUUUGGGGAUUUUAACACACGAGGCAGAAAAGCUCGAACAACCAACCAAUUAUUACCUUUUUAAUAUCCACUUGACACGAGUUGACAAUGUUUGUUAGGUGUUUGUAUACUGUGUUCUUUACUGCCACUGUAUACUUUACUGUUACUCUUGUCUCGACAAAAGACUUGAUAGAUAUCUAAAGGUAAUUUUAAUAGCAUUAACAGGUGCAAUAAGUUCCAAUCAUGACCUUUUGACUUUAAAAAUAUCAGUUACUGCUUUUUCCUUUUGCAUAAUAGCACUGAUCCACUGAGUGCUAAAACAAUCUCAUUACACAAAUUAGCAAAACAAAUACCUCAAAAAUCAACACUUAUCUUUAAAACAAGUUCAGAAAUUGAAAUGCCUGUAUCAUCAUAAAAUGGGGGGAUGACGACUGUGUGCUGUGACUGUGCGUCAUCUAUUUCGAAGUUGAGGUCAUAAAUGUAUGUCAAACAAAGGCUGAAUAGAAGAAGCCUUUUUAUCAGCUUUCUCUCUUCAUCGUGCAGCCAAGUCAGCUGAUUAAACAUAGACUGUGUGGUUUAGGUAAUACGCUUUAUCACUCACCCUUUCCAACGUGAACAGUCUGUCACUCUCUCUUUCAGACACACACACAAAGAGCCUCUCAUAAGUGCACAAACACACGCUUCUGUUCAUGACCUCCAGACACACCACACUCCAAGAUGAACAAGCACAAACACAAUCCAGCCGUCUGACAUGUAGCAGGGAACAGACAGGUCUCUCCAGUGUGUGCUGGCAGUAAAACAGAUUAGUGAACUACAACACGCUCAACAACAAUAAGACCACCACAGCAGACAACAGACUACAACAAAGCAUUGGUGGUGUAGACGUGACUCACAGAGCAACUUGGAAAGCAGGAAUUUAAAUAAAGAGAGAAAGCCUGCAGUAUGUUCACAGUACAGCAUGUAAAUAAACGUAAUCCUCCCUCUGACUAAAGCCUCAAGGGUUACAUUUUACAACAGUAGUCAUGCUUAAUGCAGCAGAAUCUGUACAGGAGGUAUAAUUGUGUGCAAUGUGUUUUUAAGAAGAUCAGAAUUCAAGAUGAUAGGCUUAUUUUUUUAUAUAAAAAAACAACCCUGCUGCCCUAACACUGUCUAAACCUUAACACAAUUUUUGAAAUACAAGACGUUACAAUUUGAUGGAAGGGAAAAUUUAAAUUUGAGUACCAAAUGUACUGAGGACUGACUUGACUAAACAAAGCUUUGUGGGGUUAUACAGCCAUUUGGCUUUAAACCUUUCAUCACAUCCCUUCCCCAAAACAUAAUUUUGAUGUUAUAAUAAUGAUUUAUCAUUUAGUCAGUGUCCUGACAUUGUUAUAGUAAACACUAUGUGAAACUGCAAUCUACAUUUUCCCAGGCUAUGAGCUUCACCUGUUGUGACAGCAUACUAAAAUAAAACCUCUUCAAACCAUUUCAGUUAAUACCUGGCCUACCUAAUACCUACAAUUAUAAACUGAAAGUGUCUGCUCCGUGCAGCAGAGUCGCAGCACGGAGUAGCAGGAGUCAGAUUUCACUUGUCACGUGACGAGAUUAAGGAGAGUUGACCGACAAGACAGUCGCAGAGGAUUUGGUGUCAAAGCGAAAAACUAAAUUGCCUAUUUUGCAGUAUUUCGGAUUUAAACUCAAUGCUAAUAGGGAACUUGAUAACUUUGUCGGAUGAAGGUGGCAGCAUCUGGUGGCAACAUCUCUAAUCUACACACACAACUCCUUCUCUUUUUCAUCCGCCUCCUCCCUCCCUCCUCUCCACACGAUGGCCUCUGUCUCGUACUCUUUGCGGCACAAGUUGUGUCUGUCGGACAGGCUGGCUCGCCGCACCACUUUCCUGUGGACACAAGACACAGGAGUUUCCAGUGAGAUAGUGCAGGUCCAGCAGGAUGGCUCUGAACUCCUCAUCCUCACAUAGAUCUUAAAAUGAGGAGGAUGAAGGACAGGAAAAGUCAGCUCCUUUCAAAUAAAACUAUUUGUUGUGCUUUGCUUUUACAAAUAAAAGAACAAAGGAUGAUAAAAUGAAU